GUGCUUGCUUCAGCAGCACAUAUACCAAAAUAGGAAUGAUACAGAGAAGAUUAGCAUGGUCCUUGCACAAGCAUGGCACACAAAUUUGUGAAGCGUUCCAUAUAUUU